GAUGAACGCUGGCGGCGUGCCUAAUACAUGCAAGUAGAACGCUGAAGGAAGGAGCUUGCUCUUUCCGGAUGAGUUGCGAACGGGUGAGUAACGCGUAGGUAACCUGCCUGGUAGCGGGGGAUAACUAUUGGAAACGAUAGCUAAUACCGCAUAACAGUAGAUGUUGCAUGAUAUCUACUUAAAAGGUGCAAUUGCACCACUACCAGAUGGACCUGCGUUGUAUUAGCUAGUUGGUGAGGUAACGGCUCACCAAGGCGACGAUACAUAGCCGACCUGAGAGGGUGAUCGGCCACACUGGGACUGAGACACGGCCCAGACUCCUACGGGAGGCAGCAGUAGGGAAUCUUCGGCAAUGGACGGAAGUCUGACCGAGCAACGCCGCGUGAGUGAAGAAGGGUUUCGGAUCGUAAAGCUCUGUUGUAAGAGAAGAACGAGUGUGAGAGUGGAAAGUUCACACUGCGACGGUAUCUUACCAGAAAGGGACGGCUAACUACGUG
rnacentral:rRNA from 1 species